GACAGAGGUGCCGAGCGUUAGGCGGAAUCACUGGGCUUAAAGCGUGUGUAGGCGGGUCGUUAAGUGUCUUGUGAAAUCCCACCGCUCAACGGUGGAACUGCUGGGCAUACUGGCGAUCUUGAGCCACCUAGGGGCAGACGGAACAAGCGGUGGAGCGGUGAAAUGCGCAGAUAUCGCUUGGAACGCCGACGGUGAAAACAGUCUGCUGGGGGUGUGCUGACGCUGAGACACGAAAGCCAGGGGAGCGAACGGG
rnacentral:rRNA from 1 species